rnacentral:lncRNA from 1 species
GUAAAAGACUACAGAACCUGAUAGCAGAGAUUGGGAUGAUGCUUCUACAAGCCAAGAAUGCCAGAAAUUUCCAGCAAGCCAUAAGAAGCUAGAAGAGACAUAUGGAACAGAUCAUCCCCAUAGCUUUCAGAAGGAACCCUGCUGACACCUUGAUCUUGGACUUCUAGACUCAGAACAGUGAGCCAGUAAAAUUCUAUUCUUUAAGUCAUACAGUUUGUGGUGCUUUAUUAUGGUAGCUCCAGCCAACUAAUACAACUCCAGACCAUUUAUUGAGUUAUGAGUUCUGGAGAAUUGUGUAUAAAUCUAUUUUCAAUUUCUCUCAAUUUAUGAUUGACUAUAUUACCAUUUCUCAUACUUAAACACGUCUGGAGUGCACCUGAAGUAAAGUUCCUGAUCUUCUGCUGUAGCCUCCCAGACCCACCAGCAGUCCCUAAGACUAGUCCUUAGCUCCUGUGAAAACUCAGGGGCAAAGUGAAUCUGCCAUUUGACUCCUACUCCUGUCAACUUCAGGGUGACUGCUGCAGACACAGAUGGGAUGUCUCACUAGAGAAAGAAAAUGGUGCAAGAGAAUUCUUCAGAAUCUGUUUCUGAAAGCUAUUUUGUGCCACCUUCAACUGACUGGAAGACUAUGUUUGGGAGAAUGAUGUGAAAUGUUAUCUUUGGAUGUUGGAGAUAAUUCUUUAAAGCACUGUAGUAUAUGAAAAAUGGUAUUUGAAUCAAUAAAUAAUUAAAUUAAUGAUGAUCUUUUGGGGAA